rnacentral:rRNA from 1 species
AACGAACGCUGGCGGCGUGCUUAACACAUGCAAGUCGAACGGAAAGGCCCUGAUUUUGUGGGGUGCUCGAGGGCCGAACGGGUGAGUAACACGUGAGUAACCUGCCCUAGACUUUGGGAUAACUUCAGGAAACUGGGGCUAAUACCGGAUAGGAGCUCCUGCUGCAUGGUGGGGGUUGGAAAGUUUCGGCGGGCGGGGAUGGACUCGCGGCUUAUCAGCUUGUUGGUGGGGUGGUGGCUUACCAAGGCUUUGACGGGUAGCCGGCCUGAGAGGGUGACCGGCCACAUUGCGACUGAGAUACGGCCCAGACGCGCAUAGGAGGCAGAAGGGGGGAAUAUUGCCCAACGAGGCCGAGCAUGAUGAAACAACGUCGGGGUGGGAAAGACGGUCUGUGGGUUAGGAAACGCAUUCGCCUGGGACCAAGCGUGUGUGACGGUAAUCGGGAAAGAAGCACCGGCUAACUACGUG